CUACGGGCGGCUGCAGUGGGGAAUAUUGCACAAUGGGCGAAAGCCUGAUGCAGCAACGCCGCGUGAGGGACGACGGCCUUCGGGUUGUAAACCUCUUUUAGCAGGGAAGAAGCGAAAGUGACGGUACCUGCAGAAAAAGCACCGGCUAACUACGUGCCAGCAGCCGCGGUAAUACGUAGGGUGCAAGCGUUGUCCGGAAUUAUUGGGCGUAAAGAGCUCGUAGGCGGUUUGUCGCGUCUGCUGUGAAAAUCCGAGGCUCAACCUCGGACCUGCAGUGGGUACGGGCAAACUAGAGUGCGGUAGGGGAGAUUGGAAUUCCUGGUGUAGCGGUGGAAUGCGCAGAUAUCAGGAGGAACACCAAUGGCGAAGGCAGAUCUCUGGGCCGUAACUGACGCUGAGGAGCGAAAGCGUGGGGAGCGAACAGGAUUAGAUACCCCAGUAGUC
rnacentral:rRNA from 1 species